rnacentral:rRNA from 1 species
AUGAACGCUGGCGGCGUGCCUAAUACAUGCAAUUCGAGCGAACGGACGAGAAGCUUGCUUCUCUGAUGUUAGCGGCGGACGGGUGAGUAACACGUGGAUAACCUACCUAUAAGACUGGGAUAACUUCGGGAAACCGGAGCUAAUACCGGAUAAUAUUUUGAACCGCAUGGUUCAAAAGUGAAAGACGGUCUUGCUGUCACUUAUAGAUGGAUCCGCGCUGCAUUAGCUAGUUGGUAAGGUAACGGCUUACCAAGGCAACGAUGCAUAGCAGACCUGAGAGGGUGAUCGGCCACACUGGAACGGAAACACGGUCCAGACUCCUACGGGAGGCAGCAGUAGGGAAUCUUCCGCAAUGGGCGAAAGCCUGACGGAGCAACGCCGCGUGAGUGAUGAAGGUCUUCGGAUCGUAAAACUCUGUUAUUAGGGAAGAACAUAUGUGUAAGUAACUGUGCACAUCUUGACGGUACCUAAUCAGAAAGCCACGGCUAACUACGUG